CGGUCCCCUCGCCGCGGACGGCCCCGGCCUCUGCGCUGCUGCUCCUUCCUCCCCUACGGACGCCCUCUGCCCGCCUGGGGUCUUCCCACCACGGACCCUGUAACCCUUGCCUUCCAGGGCCGUGGGCUGAAUUGUCUUCCCUCAAAAUUCCCAUGGUGAAGCCCUAACCUGCAGUGUGUCUCUACUGGAGACGGGGCCGUUAGAGGUCAUCAAGGCGCGACGAGGUCGUCGGGUGGGACCCUGAUCCUCGGAAAGCGAUUAUCCAACCUUCUGUAGUAUUUCAUGCUACCUUUAAAAUACAACUGAAACAAUUAUUGGGCAUAAUGUAAAUUCAGUCGUUGUGAUUGUUUGACCUGCAGUAUGGAAGGACACACAGAGAGAUGAUAGAUAUUUGACUUAGUCAUCCUGGUUUAUCUGCCCAAACAAUCUGUGCUCAUGGUUUCUGCUGUGAUGAGCACUGACUUUCUAUGAGUGUCAUGGAGGAGGCAGAGUCCUCUCCUGUGGAUCAUACCAAGGGGAGGAGAAUGCAGGAAGUGAGAAAAGCUACCGUCGCUAGUGGAAAUAGUUUUUUUUCUUAUCUCACAUUCAAAUAAAAAAGUGCAUCAUGCUGCUAGGACAUCACAUCCUUCUUACAAACCGACUUGACCUGCUCAAGAGACGAAGUCAAACAUAUGGGCUGUCAGGAGAUGCUUGACCUGUCAGUCAACACUCUGAGCAUCUUUCAAAGAAAAUAACCCUUUUCCAGUUUCUUAAAUGAGGAAAAUGUGUAGAGCAAAUAUUGGUUAUCAGCUGGCUCAGGUCCUUAUUUAACAAACGAAGUGGGCUUUCCAGGAAGGCAUAGUCACUGACUUAAGAUCACACAGCUCAUGGGGCAAAGAGACAGUUAAAACCUGCUUUGCCAAAGCUGGUUCCAUCUCCACUAUGUAGCCCCCUGCCUAAUCCUCCCCCUCGAGAGAACCACACCAUCACAGGUCACCUGGUCACAGUUUUAUUAAAAGUCAACAAUAAUAGCGAACGACUUGGAUUGCAAGCAUACCCACCAACUGGAAAACAGGAGCUCAGCUUGCCUUGCAGAGAGCUGACCUAAGUCGUUCUGACAAACUUUGAGGGGAUCUCGAGACAGCAUCACCACUGGGGAAUGAAAGGAGUCUGAGCCUGGCUUGUGCACUUCACAAAUGCAUCUGCUUUACCACAGCAUCCUUUGAAAAGCGAAUCUCAGGCUUCGUUUUAUUAGAAAAACUCUUUUAAUUGACAGACACAGACAAACACCAAGAUCUUUCAAUGUAUUGUUUCCCUUAAGACCAUGACUGACCCAGGGAGUAUGUACCUUCUUCACCGUCUUGUUUAUGAAUAUCGGGGUCAGGUUUACUGAGUGAAUCAUCCAGUUUGCCCACGAAAGCCGAGAACCAAGCUCAAGUGUCAGACUGAAAGCAUUUCUUCCCGGCACAGUGGGCAGGGCUCUGGAGGAGAAGUAGGGUUACUGCACAGGGCGGGAAGGAAGAAGCGGUGAGGUAUAAAUGCCAGGACGGUCUUGGACUCCGGGCCCUGCUUUUAGAGGCUCUGCUCCCCCCUCUGAAGUCAGGCGCCUUCUCUCCUGUCCGGCUCCUGCUGCGCAAACCUGCCUCUCCCACCUCUGUGGUCUGAUCAACCCAGUGUGUCCUGCUUCCCAGAGAUCGCCCACAGAACUAGAAGAAGUCAUCUUCACCCACUAUGUGACAAAGAUGUUUGUGUUAAUUAUUACAUACACAAAAAGUUUCCUAAAAAUAUGUGGCAUUAUAAAAAAUGGUAUGCGGACAAUUAAGUUAUAAUUUCCACUGAAAGGUGUUUUCAUGUUGGUCAUACGUGUGGUCUUGAAGUCCAGGGGUGCACUGGGCCUGUCACUCACACACCCACCCUGAUCCGUGGGAGACCCCUCUGCAGUCAGCCCUCGGUCAGCUUGCUCGGUCGUGUCGCUAAGUUAGAGCAUGCAGAGCGGGAAGAAAAUAACCCUCCGUGGAGAAUAUUUCCAAGCCUAAACUGGAUCCAUGCUGAAAACUGUAUCUGGGAUGAAAAAUAAAUAUAUGAACCCAAGCUGAACUUGAAUUCUAGGCAUAUGAGAUGGUGCUUGCAGGUGGACUCAUUUUGCUUAAUUUAUGAAAUUCGAGCCGCUCAGGACUCUGAGAUAAUUUGGAGUUCACUUUUCUGUUUGAGCCAUUUAACCAUGAAUGAUUCCUGCAUGGUUACUGGAGGUUGGUGAUUACCACCUUAAUUUACACCAUUGACCUCCAACAAAAGAUAUUUUUACCUCCUUUGGAAAUGCUUCAUUAUAAGUCUAUGCAUCUCUGAAAAAUAAAUAAAAUCUGUAGCCGUA